rnacentral:rRNA from 1 species
UACGAAGGGGGCGAGCGUUAUUCGGAAUCACUGGGCGUAAAGCGUGCGUAGGCUGUUCUGCAAGUCAGGAGUGAAAGCCCAAGGCUCAACCUUGGAAGCGCUUUUGAAACUGCAGGACUCGAAUUCAGGAGAGGAUAGCGGAAUUCCCAGUGUAGCAGUGAAAUGCGCAGAUAUCAGGAGGAACACCGGUGGCGAAGGCGGGUCUCUGGGCCGAUACUGACGCUGAGGAGCGAAAGCGUGGGGAGCGAACAGG